rnacentral:miRNA from 1 species
UGCUAGUUCCCUCCGCCUAGGUCCCAAGAGCCUGACUUGUGAUGUUACUAAAAUACCUCACAAGUUAGGGUCUCAGGGACUAGGAAAAGUCCAGUUUGAUGC